CGUAGGUGGCAAGCGUUGUCCGGAUUUAUUGGGUUUAAAGGGCGCGUAGGCGGCUUUGCAAGUGACGGGUGAAAUCCCUCGGCUUAACCGAGGAACUGCCUGUCAGACUGCAUGGCUUGAGACCAGGAGAGGUGAGUGGAAUUCCCAGUGUAGCGGUGAAAUGCGUAGAUAUUGGGAGGAACACCAGUGGCGAAGGCGGCUCACUGGACUGGUACUGACGCUGAUGCGCGAAAGCGUGGGGAGCAAACAGGAUUAGAUACCCUGGUAGUCCACGCCGUAAACGAUGAGUGCUUGGUGUAGCGGGUAUCGACCCCUGCUGUGCCGAAGUCAACACAUUAAGCACUCCGCCUGGGGAGUACGGUCGCAAGACUG
rnacentral:rRNA from 1 species